AUCUAUAUAGUUUAAAUAAAACAUCAUAUUUUCAUUGUGAAAAAAAUAAAAUCUAUUUAUAGAUA
rnacentral:tRNA from 1 species